rnacentral:tRNA from 1 species
GGCCCCGUCGUCUAGGGGCCUAGGACGCCGCCCUCUCAAGGCGGAAACGCCAGUUCAAAUCUGGUCGGGGCUG